CUCCACUGAUUCUCAUUUUCUCUCUCUUUUUCUCUUUCUUUUUCUCUUUCUCUUUCUCUCUCACAUAGACGCACACACGAUGCCCAACUCAGAGGAGAAUAAGUGACGCGUCGCAACACGAAAUAUGCCCUGAAACGAACAUUCUCACUUUCAAUCAUCAGCAAAAUACUGUUUUUUAUUGCUGAAUCGUGGUAUGCUAUUUGUUUGAAUCCUGUGGGUCAUUCGCUUGCUCAAACGUGUGACUAGAUACGAGUGGGCAGAAUUACUGUGCGGAGUGGCUAAUUUACCUCAAGAAACUCCAAAGUAUCUUUAUCGUCUGAUACACAUCGAAAUAAUAACACACAGAACAUACCCUUUAUAUUUAUUGUGCAGGAACUGUCGACUGCUUUAUUAAUACAUUGAAGAGCAGAACAUUCAGUCAACAGAGAUGCCGAUCUCAGUAAACUUACAGUGGAAGAGAAUUGGUUCAAUGACGCCUGCAGUUUGGAGCUGUCAUUUAAUGCAGCGGUUUUAAACUUUUUAAUCUCAGGACCCAAAUAAGCUGCGGUGGGUUGGCACCCUACCUGGAAUUUGUUCCUGCCUUGCACGGUGUGCGGGCUGGGAUUGGCUCCAGCAGACCCCUGUGUUAGGAUAUAGAGGGUUGGAAAAUCGAUGACUGACUGACCCAAAUAAGAAAGUCUACACAUGGACCCAAGAAGAGUAUUACUACCGAAACGACAGCAGAGCUAUAAAUAGAGUACUACUAAUAAUGACUAUUUUUUUUAUUUCAAGAAUAAAUCGUUUUGUUAAUGAAACAAUAAUUAUACUUCUAAACAGAGAAUAUAUUCCUGUUGUCUAUCAGUGUUAGUAUAAAUGCUUAGGCUUUAGCAAAGCUAAGAGAAAAAUGUGGGGUGCAGAUCUGACGAUUUUGAAAGGACAAUAUGAAUAGUCAUUUAACUUAGUCGCUUUAGUAAUGGCGCCAGAUAUGGAAUAAAAUAAUCCAAAAAUACUUAAUUAUAGCAGUUUAUCAUCUUUGUCUUAAAUAGCAUUUUUUUUAAAUAACAUUUUUCAAAAGAGUGCCGCCAUUAAUAUGGCGGUAUCUGUAAAUGCGUUUGCAAAAAGUUCAGCAUAUCCCGGUUUACAUUGAAAAAUUCAAUAAACCGAGUAGGGCGGCACGGUGGCGCAGUGGUAGCGCUGCUGCCUCGCAGUUAGGGGACCCGGGUUCGCUUCCCGGGUCCU